AUUGAACGCUGGCGGCAGGCCUAACACAUGCAAGUCGAGCGGAUGAAGGGAGCUUGCUCCUGGAUUCAGCGGCGGACGGGUGAGUAAUGCCUAGGAAUCUGCCUGGUAGUGGGGGAUAACGUCCGGAAACGGGCGCUAAUACCGCAUACGUCCUGAGGGAGAAAGUGGGGGAUCUUCGGACCUCACGCUAUCAGAUGAGCCUAGGUCGGAUUAGCUAGUUGGUGGGGUAAAGGCCUACCAAGGCGACGAUCCGUUACUGGUCUGAGAGGAUGAUGAGUCACACUGGAACUGAGACACGGUCCAGACUCCUACGGGAGGCAGCAGUGGGGAAUAUUGGACAAUGGGCGAAAGCCUGAUCCAGCCAUGCCGCGUGUGUGAAGAAGGUCUUCGGAUUGUAAAGCACUUUAAGUUGGGAGGAAGGGCAGUAAGUUAAUACCUUGCUGUUUUGACGUUACCAACAGAAUAAGCACCGGCUAACUUCGUG
rnacentral:rRNA from 1 species